UUAUAGUUUAGUGGCGGACGGGUGAGUAACACGUGAGCAACCUGCCUUCGAGAGGGGAAUAACGGCUGGAAACGGUCGCUAAUACCGCAUAACAUACGGGAGGGACAUCCCUUUUGUAUCAAAGAUUUAUCGCUCGAAGAUGGGCUCGCGUCCGAUUAGGUAGUUGGUGAGGUAACGGCCCACCAAGCCGACGAUCGGUAGCCGGACCGAGAGGUUGAACGGCCACAUUGGGACUGAGACACGGCCCAAACUCCUACGGAAGGCAGCAG
rnacentral:rRNA from 1 species